rnacentral:rRNA from 1 species
UACGUAGGGUGCAAGCGUUGUCCGGAAUUAUUGGGCGUAAAGAGCUUGUAGGCGGUUUGUCGCGUCUGCUGUGAAAUUUCGGGGCUCAACCCCGAACUUGCAGUGGGUACGGGCAGACUAGAGUGUGGUAGGGGAGACUGGAAUUCCUGGUGUAGCGGUGAAAUGCGUAGAGAUCAGGAGGAACACCCGUGGCGAAGGCGGCCCUCUGGCUCGACCCUGACGCUGAGGCGCGAAAGCGUGGGGAGCGAACGGG